ACGUUCGGGUAAUCGCUGCGGCAGCUUGCUGCUGCAGAGGAAAGUCCAUGCUCGCACGGACUGAGAUGUCCGUAGUGUUCGUGCCUGGCGAAGUCAUAAGCCAGGGCAGCCGGGCGAUUGCGCGGCUGACGGCAGGGAAAAUGCCUAAGUCCUUCGGGAUAUGGCAUGAAUACCUUGAAAGUGCCACAGUGACGGAGCCUUUCCAGAAAUGGGAAGGGUGGAACGAGGUAAACCCCGCGAGCGAGAAACCCAAAUAAUGGUAGGGGCACUUUCUCUGAGGAAAUGAACAAGGAGAAGGACAGAUCUUUAUAUCUGUAGAUAGAUGAUUGCCGCCUUAGUACGAGACUCAGGUCGAUUGCAGUACAAAGGAACAAAACAUGGCUUACAGAA
rnacentral:RNase_P_RNA from 1 species